GUGGGAUAGUAAUAAAGAGAUAGGGAUAGUAAUAGAGAGAGAGGGAUAGUAAUAGAGAGAGAGGGAUAGUAAUAGACAGAGAGGAUAGUAAUAGAGAGAGAGGAUAGUAAUAGAGAGAGAGGGAUAGUAAUAGAGACAGAGGGAUAGUAAUAGAGAGGUAGGGAUAGUAAUAGAGAGAGAUGAUAGUAAUAGAGAGAGGGAUAGUAAUAGAGAGAGAGGAUAGUAAUAGAGAGAGAGGAUAUAAUAGAGAGAGAGGGAUAGUAAUAGAGAGAGAGGGAUAUUCAUAGAGAGAGGAUAGUAAUAGAGAGAGAGGAUAGUAAUAGAGAGAUAGGAUAGUAAUAGAGAGAGAGGAUAGUAAUAGGGACAGAGGGAUAGUAAUAGAGAGAGAGGAUAGUAAUAGAGAUAGAGGAUAGUAAUAGAGAGAGAGGGAUAGUAAUAGAGAGAGAGGGAUAUUCAUAGAGAGAGAGGAAUAGUAAUAGAGAGAGACUGGGGAUAGUAAUAGAGAGAUAGGGAUAGUAAAAGAGAGAGAGAGGUGGGAUAGUAAUAAAGAGAUAGGGAUAGUAAUAGAGAGAGAGGGAUAGUAAUAGAGAGAGAGGGAUAGUAAUAGAGAGAGAGGAUAGUAAUAGAGAGAGAGGAUAGUAAUAGAGAGAGAGGAUAGAAAUAGAGAGAGAGGGAUAGUAAUAGAGACAGAGGGAUAGUAAUAGAGAGAUAGGGAUAGUAAUAGAGAGAGAUGAUAGUAAUAGAGAGAGAAGGAUAGUAAUAGAGAGAGAGGAUAGUAAUAGAGAGAGAGGAUAGUAUUAGAGAUAGAGGAGGGAUAGUAGUAGAGAGAGAGGUGGGAUGGUAAUAAAGAGAUAGGGAUAGUAAUAGAGAGAGAGGGAUAGUAAUAGAGAGAGAGGGAUAGUAAUAGAGAGAGCGGGAUAGUAAUAGAGAGAGAGGGAUAGUAAUAG
rnacentral:lncRNA from 1 species